UUUCAUCCUCAGCAACGACCGUAUAAACAUCAAAGCCCGCACUGAUUCGUUCGUCCAAAUUCAAAAUGUACCACUUCAAUUAACUACGACGGUAAAAUCGAACGCUCAUUGGUCCUCGCCUGCUUCGUCACAGAUUGCGACAGCAGUGUUCCUGCCUAUGUGUUUGAAUGAUGCACGCUUUCACAAAGUGAAUCAGGAGCAUAGUCUGAGUAAUAUUUUUAGCGAUUAAAAACUUAAAUUGUGCUCUGUACCUCACACCAAACUAUUGUAUUUCACCUGCGGUGGCAACGCAGCAUCAUUUGGACUACUUUUGACCUGGCCAUGUACCCUGCCCUCUUCAUACAGGUUGUCAUGAUGUCAUUACAGAAGGAUAUACAAAAAUAUUUUAUAGCGGGAAACUGUUCUAUGCAACUAUGUUAAACCCACGCAUGAAGUAUGGAAG